rnacentral:rRNA from 1 species
UACAGAGGGUGCGAGCGUUGUUCGGAAUUAUUGGGCGUAAAGGGCGCGUAGGCGGUGCGGUAAGUCACCUGUGAAAUCUCCUGGCUCAACUGGGAGCUUGCAGGCGAAACUGCCGUGCUGGAGUGUGGGAGAGGUGCGUGGAAUUCCUGGUGUAGCGGUGAAAUGCGUAGAUAUCAGGAGGAACACCUGUGGCGAAAGCGGCGCACUGGACCACAACUGACGCUGAGGCGCGAAAGCUAGGGGAGCGAACAGG